UACGUAGGUGGCAAGCGUUGUCCGGAUUUACUGGGCGUAAAGGGCGUGCAGGCGGUCUGUUAAGUGCAGGGUGAAAGCUCCCGGCUCAACUGGGAGAGGUCCUUGCAUACUGGCGGACUUGAGGGGGGUAGAGGAAAGUGGAAUUCCCGGUGUAGCGGUGAAAUGCGCAGAUAUCGGGAAGAACACCCGUGGCGAAGGCGGCUUUCUGGGACGGUACUGACGCUGAGACGCGAAAGCGUGGGGAGCGAACAGG
rnacentral:rRNA from 1 species